GGGUGAGUAACACGUAUGCACCCUGCCCCUGUCAGGGGGACAACCCGCCGAAAGGCGGGCUAAACCCGCGUACAUGCCACCGGGGCAUCCCGGAGGCAGGAAAGGCUUCGGCCGGACAGGGAUGGGCAUGCGGCGCAUUAGGCAGUAGGCGGGGUAACGGCCCACCUAACCGACGAUGCGUAGGGGUUCUGAGAGGAAGGUCCCCCACACUGGUACUGAGACACGGACCAGACUCCUACGGGAGGCAGCAGUGAGGAAUAUUGGUCAAUGGUCGGGAGACUGAACCAGCCAAGCCGCGUGAGGGAUGAAGGUACAGAGUAUCGUAAACCCCUUUUGUCAGGGAACAAAGGCGGGGACGUGUCCCCGGAUGAGUGUACCUGAAGAAAAAGCAUCGGCUAACUCCGUGCCAGCAGCCGCGGUAAUACGGAGGAUGCGAGCGUUAUCCGGAUUUAUUGGGUUUAAAGGGUGCGCAGGCGGUCUGUUAAGUCAGCGGUCAAAGCCCGGGGCUCAACCCCGGCCCGCCGUUGAAACUGGCAGUCUCGAGUUGGAGAGAAGUAUGCGGAAUGCGCGGUGUAGCGGUGAAAUGCAUAGAUAUCGCGCAGAACUCCGAUUGCGAAGGCAGCAUGCCGGCUCCACACUGACGCUGAGGCACGAAAGCGUGGGUAUCGAACAGGAUUAGAUACCCUGGUAGUCCACGCAGUAAACGAUGAAUGCAGGCUGUCCGGG
rnacentral:rRNA from 1 species